AUUGAACGCUGGCGGCAUGCCUUACACAUGCAAGUCGAACGGCAGCGGGGGAGAAGCUUGCUUUUCCUGCCGGCGAGUGGCGAACGGGUGAGUAAUACAUCGGAACGUGCCCUGUAGUGGGGGAUAACUAGUCGAAAGAUUAGCUAAUACCGCAUACGACCUGAGGGUGAAAGUGGGGGACCGCAAGGCCUCAUGCUAUAGGAGCGGCCGAUGUCUGAUUAGCUAGUUGGUGGGGUAAAGGCCUACCAAGGCGACGAUCAGUAGCUGGUCUGACAGGACGAUCAGCCACACUGGGACUGAGACACGGCCCAGACUCCUACGGGAGGCAGCAGUGGGGAAUUUUCGACAAUGGGCGAAAGCCUGAUCCAGCAAUGCCGCGUGUGUGAAGAAGGCCUUCGGGUUGUAAAGCACUUUUGUCCGGAAAGAAAUGGCUCUGGUUAAUACCUGGGGUCGAUGACGGUACCGGAAGAAUAAGGACCGGCUAACUACGUGCCAGCAGCCGCAGUAA
rnacentral:rRNA from 1 species